UGAUGCUGAAAUUUGAAAUCAAAACGCCCCUGCUGCUUCCCAGUUUCUCUUCCGUGAGUCCCAUUGAAAAACAAUGGCUUUCGAUUACGCAUUCACCGGAGACGAAAUGGAAAUUGACGAUGGCCUCAGGUGCCUGAAAUACUACGGCGAAGCUCUGCCGGGAUCGUAGCGGCGGACCGUACAGCCAUGGCCCUCCUUUCAUUUUCAUGCCUUACUGUCUGCAGCAACAAGAGUAUCUGGGAGCUAGAGAUUUAGAGCAGAUGUUUCCUAUUUAUCGACCCGAAAGAGAAACCUACAGCCAGGCCAAAGAUUUUUGUUAGUCUUUUGUGGAAGCAGCUCAGCCACCAUGGGGGGAGGAUCACUGUCCCAAGCAAUUUGAGGAUACUACAAUGGCAGGCCUGCAAGAGGAAGCAUAACAUGCUUGAGUUUCACAUUCCACGGUGGGAUUUUCAGUUGGGUAUAUCCGUGAACCAGUUUUUAUCGAUGUUCGCUUCUGCCAACUCCGAUUUCAGGCACAGAGCAUUCUCGUUUCUUUUCUCUAAUGUGAGGAACUCAAUUCUUCAGACUGUAGACUCACAUACUUUUCCGCAACAUUAUGUGGAAUCGAAAGAGCAUUUGGGCCUAGCUCCGGCUGCCAUUGUUGUAUCUCGACGGGAGUCAUAUGUUUCAUCUGCUUUGAAAUCCCUGGACUGCAAUAAGCAGAUAAGGCCAGAAUCUUCUGCAAUUGGUUAGCUGCAAGAAAAGGGAAACAUGCUGUUUUGAAAGAAAAUGAGAACCCGGACUUCGUUAGAAACAUUGUCAUGGCAAGAUAUUCCCUGAAACAAAGAAAACAAACUGCAAAGACGCAAGCAGAGAUACAAACGUUGGAUGAUGAAGUGAAUCAACUGAGGCGAAAAAAUGAAGAUGAGAAGCUCACCAUUCAAAACUUGGAACUGACAUUGAUAAGGCGAAGGAGGAGAGCAGAAACGUGCCGGCGGCUAGCAGAGGCACAGUCAUCGUAUAGAACUAUGCUCGAAAAGAUGAUUUGAGAUGUAUGCACCAGUUAGUCAUUUAUAAAGAGCAAUUGAGGCUGAACCAGGCCAUAAGUACUGCACUCAUGGAAAGACUUGAGGCACAAAAGGCAAUCUGUGAUGCAUGGAGAAAGAACUACAUAAGAAAUACAAAUAAAGAGAUAGAGCUUGAGACACAGAAAAGGCCUGAAUGGGAACAAGCAAGGAAAAGAUCGAGGACAGAUGAUGCACUAACUGAGGAGAAAGACAGCAAGAUGGUUCUUUAUCCACCAGCAAUCAAGCCAAGAACGCCUUUACAUAAGGCCAAAAAACGAUUGUCUAUUGACAAUCACAGGGAGAAUUGAACUAUCUGAGGAACUGGAAAGACCAAAAAACGAUUGUCUAUUGACAACCACAGGGAGCAGGCCAGAUACAGUGUUGCAUUAGAGGAUGAGAUCUUGUUAGAGAAUCAAAUGCAGAGACUGGAAAUAGAAGGAAGCACAAAUUUCAGUUUCCUGCCAUUCGAGAGCCAGAGAUUGUGGAAGAUGAAGAGAGCAGAAAAGAACGUGGCUAGGGGAAUGUAGAGAAUUGGCUUCAGAUUCUGUUGGACAGUUCUCCACAGGAGUUGGAUCCUCAGAACGAAAGUGCAAAUGAAAAGCACAGGACCGGUGAUAUAAUCAGUCAAACUGAAGAAAGUGCAAAUGAAAAACACAGGACCAGUGAUAUAAUCAGUCAAAUGAAUUUGGAGUACCCACAGGAGAUCAAGAAUGUGAAGUGUCCACAGGCUGAGGCUAAAGAAGGUGUGCCGAAGCAGCAGUUAAUUGUCCAAGAGAAGGAUGACAAUGCACAUCAAGUGCGUACUCAUGUUAAGUCCCUUAAGGGAGUUGUUAUCAGGAAGAGUUUUGAAGGGAGGGACCAGAGUAACGGAAAGGGAAAAAAACUUACAAAGUCUGAGAGUGCCAGAGCCUUUCGACGAAUUCCAUCUUCUCCAUCUAUAAUACUGGGCAUGAAAAAGGGUGUUGACUGCAUACAGAAGAAGCGCAUGGUAACCAGUGAUGAUGACAAAAGCUAUGCAGCGGGAAACAGUUUUAUGAAGUCAUCCAUAAAGACAAUCAAGAAAACGAGGGAUUUUUCGGUGUACCCGGCACACCAAAAAAAUUUGGUGUACCCUCACUCAUAAUGGUGAGGGUGCACCAAAAAAAUUUGGUGCACCCUCACUUUU